GACGAACGCUGGCGGCGUGCUUAACACAUGCAAGUCGAACGAUGAAACCUAGCUUGCUAGGUCGAUUAGUGGCGAACGGGUGAGUAACACGUGACUAACCUGCCCCUUUCUCUGGGAUAACGCUCCGAAAGGAGUGCUAAUACCGGAUACUCACACCGAGGCACAUGCCUUGGUGUGGAAAGCUUUUCGGAAAGGGAUGGAGUCGCGGCCUAUCAGCUUGUUGGUGAGGUAACGGCUCACCAAGGCGACGACGGGUAGCCGGCCUGAGAGGGCGACCGGCCACACUGGGACUGAGACACGGCCCAGACUCCUACGGGAGGCAGCAGUGGGGAAUAUUGCACAAUGGGCGCAAGCCUGAUGCAGCGACGCCGCGUGAGGGAUGAAGGUCUUCGGAUUGUAAACCUCUUUCAGUAGGGACGAAGCGAAAGUGACGGUACCUAAAGAAGAAGCACCGGCUAACUACGUGCCAGCCGCCGCCGUAA
rnacentral:rRNA from 1 species